rnacentral:rRNA from 1 species
GACGAACGCUGGCGGCGUGCUUAACACAUGCGAGUCGAACGAGAGCGUAGAGAAAGCUUGCUUUUUCUACAAUCUAGUGGCAAACGGGUGAGUAACGCGUAAACAACCUGCCCUACGGAUGGGGACAACAGCUGGAAACGGCUGCUACUACCGAAUACGUUCCGAAAGUCGCAUGACUAUCGGAAGAAAGGAUGGCCUCUCUUUAUAAGCCAUCGCCGGAGGAGGGGUUUGCGUCUGAUUAGCUAGUUGGAGGGGUAACGGCCCACCAAGACGACGAUCAGUAGCCGGUCUGAGAGGCUGGACGCGCACAAUGGAACUGGAACAAGCGCCAGACUCCUACGGGAGGCAGCAGUGAGGAAUCUUCCGCCAUGGGCGAAAGGCUGGCGGGGCAACACCGCGUGGGUGGAGUCGGCAUUCGGGUUGUAAAGCUCUGUUAUACGGGGCGAAUAAUCUUGUGGUUAAUACCCAUGAGAAGUGACGGUACCGUAAGAGAAAGCCACGGCUAACUACGUG